rnacentral:rRNA from 1 species
GACGAACGCUGGCGGCGUGCUUAACACAUGCAAGUCGAACGGUGAAGCUCCAGCUUGCUGGAGUGGAUCAGUGGCGAACGGGUGAGUAACACGUGAGCAACCUGCCCCUGACUCUGGAAUAAGCGCUGGAAACGGCGUCUAAUACUGGAUACGAGAAGGGUCCGCAUGGGCACUUUCUGGAAAGUUUUUCGGUUGGGGAUGGGCUCGCGGCCUAUCAGCUUGUUGGUGAGGUAAUGGCUCACCAAGGCUACGACGGGUAGCCGGCCUGAGAGGGCGACCGGCCACACUGGGACUGAGACACGGACCAGACUCCUACGGGAGGCAGCAGUGGGGAAUAUUGCACAAUGGGCGAAAGCCUGAUGCAGCGACGCCGCGUGAGGGAUGACGGCCUUCGGGUUGUAAACCUCUUUCAGCAGGGAAGAAGCGAAAGUGACGGUACCUGCAGAAGAAGCACCGGCUAACUACGUG